CUUCCUCCCACCCCAAGCCGCACCCCCAUCUACCUACUAACCUCAUCCCACCUCCUUGACCUGUCCGUCUUCCCUGGACUUACCUUUUCUCUCCUCUCCACCUUCGGUCCGCCUCCCCCUCUCUCCCUAUUUAUUCCAGUUCCCUCUCCCCGUCCCCCUCUCUGAUGAAAGGUCUAGGCCCGAAACGUCAGCUUUUGUGCUCCUGAGAUGCUGCUUGGCCUGCUGUGCUCAUCCAGCCUCACAUUUUAUUAUUUUAGGAGAGAGAGCUGUUUUGGUUUGUGAUACAAGAGACGAGGCUGUCUAUGCCUUUCACCCAUCGGUAGCUCUCCUCCUGUCCCUGCCUCUAUGCACACACUCUGCCAGGCAUAGUCUUCCUCCCUCUGUGUGUGUGUGUGUGUGUGUCUCUCUCUCGCUUCAGCUCCUAAAACCUAAGAUGCAUCGGAUAUAAAAACACGCACAUAAACACACACACACACACACAUCAACAAGCCAUGGAGAAAGAUCAGGAAUUACUGCAAGCUGUCAAAACCGAAGAUGUAGCUGCAAUGCAGAAGCUGUUGCAAAGGCCGAAACAAGGCAAAGCGAGACACAAUCAUCGCCUUGGAAGCUUCAUCACGAUACUACUUUGCAUUUCUGAAGAGGGAAGAAGAAAUCAACAUGAAAAUUCAAUUCCAUGGUUUUGGAAGUCCCAUUGAGAACACGAUUCAUUUGCGCCGGCAUAAUGCUCUGACCGAGAAAGAAUUGAAGUUUCCACUUGGAAGAAAGAUUCACAUCAAAUUGACUGGUCAAGGAAAUGGGACACUGACUAACCAUAUGAUUAGACUGUUUUGAUGAGAAAUUUAAAGAUUACGUGUCCCAUCCGUUUGACUCACAGUUUGGUACCAUAGGUUGGUACGAUCUUCGUUGGAGAAGGAAAAGGGAUGUUCCAGAUACAGAAAACCGUCAAACCAUUUACAACAAAGUCCGUUUCUGGACACAAUCAUUGCCUUGGAAGCUUCAUCACGAUACGACAUUGCAUUUCUGAAGAGGGAAGAAGAAAUCAACAUGCAAAUUCAAUUCCAUGGUUUUGGAAGUCCCAUUGAGAACACGAUUCAUUUGCGCCGGCAUAAUGCUCUGACCGAGAAAGAAUUGAGGUAAUUGCAUGACAGUUUGACUGGUUCGUUGAGAGUGAGGAACCUAUGGACUCUCAGACACCAAGAUGGAAUUUAGUUCAAAGAGUGACUUCAAAAUGUUCCGCAAGUUUUAGCGUAAACUGGUGGAGACUUUCGGUGCUUGCAAAAAGGCUCACCUCUCCGUUCAUACCGAAGGAAAAUGGGAGUUUAAAAAACCAUACGAUGAGACUGUUUUGAUGAGGAAUUUAAAGAUUACGAGUCGUGUCCGUUUGACUCACAGUUUGGUACCAUAGGUUGGUACGAUCUUCGUUGGAGAAGGAAAAGGGAUGUUCCAGAUCCAGAAAAUCGUCAAACCAUUUACUACAAAGUCCGUUUCUGGGUGGAGUUAGUGGAACCGAAAAAGAUGUCUCCCUCACAGCGUUUGUGACACAAGAAUUGCAUCGUUCCUUGGCGGCCUUUCAACAGAAGAAUAUUCAGAGAUUUCCCGAGUGACAACAUCAGGUGAAGAUGUGCGUGAUUUCAGCAAGGUGCUGAAAACAAGUUCAGAUCAACGAAACACUUUGCCAAACAUCCUCGCUUGAGUUAUUUACUAGUACAAACAGUUCUAGAAGGCGAGAAGCUUGAGAGGACACAAUCAUCGCCUUGGAAGCUUCAUCACGAUACUACUUUGAUUCUUCUUCCCUCUUCAGAAAUGCAAUGUGCAAAUUCAAUUCCAUGGUUUUGGAAGUCCCAUUGAGAACACGAUUCAUUUGUGCCGGCAUAAUGCUCUGACCGAGAAAGAAUUGAAGAGCCAGGACUGAGGGAAUCCUGCAUCGUUCCGGUGUCAUCAUUGAGGGAGUGCUGCACUGUUAAAGGGCCGAUAGUAAGGGAGUGUGACACUGUCAAAGGUGGGCUACAGUAUCAGAGGGUGAGUAAUGAGGGAAUGCUGCGCUGUCGGAGGGUCAGCACUGAGGUGGGCUGUACUGUCAGAUCGUCAAUGUAAAUAAUAAUGUCAGGGGAGUGCUGCAUUGUGAGUUGGUCCAUAUUAAGGGAACGCUGAAACUGUCAGUGAUGCUCAGGGUGUGCAACACUGUCAGAGGGAGUGAUGUACUCUGAGUGUCAGCACGGAGGCUGACCUUCACUGUAAUUGUGUCAGAAUUAAAAGACCGGUCAGAGGAUAUAAACUGAGGCAUUUCAGAGCCAUCAGAAGGUCGAAACUGAGGUGUUUCAGAUCAGUUUGAGGGUGCCUCAUUUUAAUGUGGUCAGACUUGAGCAAGUGCUUCAUUGUCAGAGGCUCAGAACCAAGUGAAUGCCUCGUUAUCAGACACUGUCCUAAAGAGGGCCUUGUGGUUGGUGGCUGUGUUGUAAGGCAAUUCCUCAUUGCUGCAGGAUCAGCCUUGAGAGUGUGCCAGUCUGGAAGGAGUGCCUAAAAACUGAGAGUGCGCUACACAAUUCGAGAUUCAGCGCUGAGUAAGUGCCUCAUUGUCACAGAGUUGGUUCUGAGGCAGGGUCACAUUGCCUUAGGGUCAAUUCUGAGGGUGUAUGAGGAGCAGACUGUAAAUACUGAGUCAGUAGCUCAGUGCAUUGGAUUCAGAGUUGAUGGAGUACAAGAUGAUUAGAAGUUCAGUCCUGAAGUAUUGCAGCUCUGUCAGAGGAUCAGAACUGAGGGGGCAGUGCUUUACUGUCAGCGGAUCAGUUCUGAGGCAGUACCUCAUUGCUGGAGGGUCAGAUGUGGACGAGUGUCACAUUGUCAGAAGGCCAGUUCUGAAUAAGUGACUUUUUGUCAGAAGGCCAAUACUCAGUCAGUGGCUCAUUUUGAGCAGAUCAGAAUUGAGGGUUUGCAACACUUGUCGAGAUUCAGUCUGGAGACAUUACUGCUACACGCCUGAAUUGAGGGAGUGCUGCAAGAUUGGAGGGUGAAAAUAAACCCGAAAACAGUGACCCCUUUC